GGGUUGUGAGGUUAAGCGACUAAGCGUACACGGUGGAUGCCCUGGCAGUCAGAGGCGAUGAAGGGCGUGCUAAUCUGCGAUAAGCGCCGGUAAGGUGAUAUGAACCGUUAUAACCGGCGAUACCCGAAUGGGGAAACCCAGUGUGAUUCGUCACACUAUCAUUAACUGAAUCCAUAGGUUAAUGAGGCGAACCGGGGGAACUGAAACAUCUAAGUACCCCGAGGAAAAGAAAUCAACCGAGAUUCCCCCAGUAGCGGCGAGCGAACGGGGAGGAGCCCAGAGCCUGAAUCAGCAUGUGUGUUAGUGGAAGCGUCUGGAAAGGCGCGCGAUACAGGGUGACAGCCCCGUACACAAAAGCGCAUGUGUUGUGAGCUCGAUGAGUAGGGCGGGACACGUGGUAUCCUGUCUGAAUAUGGGGGGACCAUCCUCCAAGGCUAAAUACUCCUGACUGACCGAUAGUGAACCAGUACCGUGAGGGAAAGGCGAAAAGAACCCCGGCGAGGGGAGUGAAAAAGAACCUGAAACCGUGUACGUACAAGCAGUGGGAGCACAGGUUUACCUGUGUGACUGCGUACCUUUUGUAUAAUGGGUCAGCGACUUAUAUUCUGUAGCAAGGUUAACCGUAUAGGGGAGCCGGAGGGAAACCGAGUCUUAAUUGGGCGUUAAGUUGCAGGGUAUAGACCCGAAACCCGGUGAUCUAGCCAUGGGCAGGUUGAAGGUUGGGUAACACUAACUGGAGGACCGAACCGACUAAUGUUGAAAAAUUAGCGGAUGACCUGUGGCUGGGGGUGAAAGGCCAAUCAAACCGGGAGAUAGCUGGUUCUCCCCGAAAGCUAUUUAGGUAGCGCCUCGUGAAUUCAUCUCCGGGGGUAGAGCACUGUUUCGGCUAGGGGGCCAUCCCGGCUUACCAACCCGAUGCAAACUGCGAAUACCGGAGAAUGUUAUCACGGGAGACACACGGCGGGUGCUAACGUCCGUCGUGAAGAGGGAAACAACCCAGACCGCCAGCUAAGGUCCCAAAGUCAUGGUUAAGUGGGAAACGAUGUGGGAAGGCCCAGACAGCCAGGAUGUUGGCUUAGAAGCAGCCAUCAUUUAAAGAAAGCGUAAUAGCUCACUGGUCGAGUCGGCCUGCGCGGAAGAUGUAACGGGGCUAAACCAUGCACCGAAGCUGCGGCAGCGACGCUUAUGCGUUGUUGGGUAGGGGAGCG
rnacentral:rRNA from 1 species